GAGGCAACUUUUUGCCUAGUGAAUCGAAUAUCGAUAUCUCUCUUUUUCCUAGUUGCCUAAAUCAUGUUAUGACCGCCUGAGAGGAAUUAGUAGGUUAAGUAAUUUCAGUGUACCCUUCCUCUUUGCUGCUACAUUU